CCUUCGAGAUAUAUUUGAUCAAUGAGAUUCAACAUAAUUACUAAUAACCAUAUUGGAAAAUAUAUUUGAAAUAAGGUAACUAAUUAUUUUUGGAGAGAAAAUGAGAGACUCCCUAACGAUAUUAUUUUAUCCACAAUUGUUUGUUGUGUUGUGUCUUACACGUAGGGACAAACGUGGCACACCACACAGUUGAAUUUGCUUUGGACCUUCGAUGGUGUUUGUUGUGUGUGUUUGUUGGUAGUACCAACAGCAAGAACGUGAGCAUCGAACAGGAGGAGAGCUAGGAGGAACCGGUUUAAUCUUAUAAAUUUGCGAUCGAAUGAUCUCUUAAGAAAGAAAGAGAAAGAGAGAAGAGAUUUCGCAUACUCACCUAGUUUUCUACCCCCUUUUGCCUGCUGGUCCCAUCUUCCUCAUCUCGCGUUACCAUUUACGGCUUCACUGAGUCCACGUGGUUAUCGUGUGUUCCUUUUCUCUCUCUUUCUCUCUCUCUUUCUUACUUCUUGAGUACUCAACACGCAGUCUUCGAAGUUACCAAGCGAUUCUCGAAGGGUACGGAGUCAAUAUUAAUGAAGUUGUAAACAGUCUACUACCUCUUAUCUAUUCAAAGAUAUCAAAGACUUUUAGAAUAUAUGGAAAGAGAAAGAAGGAAGAUAUAGAUAACAAGGAGAGGAUGUUGAAGGAGAAAAGGAGGGGAAGAUAGAUCAUUUAAAAUUCUAAUUUUCAUAAAAUAAGAACAUCGAAAAGAUGGGAGGGUU